GUUAGGAAUAUUGGACAAUGGGCGAAAGCCUGAUCCAGCCAUGCCGCGUGAACGAUGAAGGCCUUCGGGUUGUAAAGUUCUUUAGCCGAUGAUUAUAAUGACUGUAGUCGGAAAAUAAGCCCCGGCUAACUUCGUGCCAGCAGCCGCGGUAAUACGAAGGGGGAGCGUUAUUCGGAAUCACUGGGCGUAAAGCGUGCGUAGGCGGUUUUGUAAGUUAGGAGUGAAAGCCCAGGGCUCAACCUUGGAAUUGCUCUUAAAACUGCAAGGCUCGAAUCUCGGAGAGGAUAGCGGAAUUUCCAGUGUAGCAGUGAAAUGCGUAGAUAUUGGAAGGAACACCAGUGGCGUAAGCGGCUAUCUGGACGAGUAUUGACGCUGAGGCACGAAAGCGUGGGGAUCAAACAGGAUUAGAUACCCUGGUAGUCC
rnacentral:rRNA from 1 species